rnacentral:rRNA from 1 species
CAGAGCCGCGGUAAUACGGAGGGGGCUAGCGUUGUUCGGAAUUACUGGGCGUAAAGCGCACGUAGGCGGCUUUGUAAGUCAGAGGUGAAAGCCCGGGGCUCAACCCCGGAAUUGCCUUUGAGACUGCAUCGCUUGAAUCCAGGAGAGGUGAGUGGAAUUCCGAGUGUAGAGGUGAAAUUCGUAGAUAUUCGGAAGAACACCAGUGGCGAAGGCGGCUCACUGGACUGGUAUUGACGCUGAGGUGCGAAAGCGUGGGGAGCAAACAGGAUUAGAUACCCCUGUAGUCCCUGUCUCUUAUACA